UACGAAGGGGGCUAGCGUUGUUCGGAAUUACUGGGCGUAAAGCGCGCGCAGGCGGUCCUUUAAGUCGGGGGUGAAAGCCCAGAGCUCAACUCUGGAACUGCCUUCGAAACUAGAGGACUUGGGUACGGGAGAGGUGAGUGGAAUUCCGAGUGUAGAGGUGAAAUUCGUAGAUAUUCGGAAGAACACCAGUGGCGAAGGCGGCUCACUGGCCCGUUACCGACGCUCAGGCGCGACAGCGUGGGGAGCAAACAGG
rnacentral:rRNA from 1 species